AUACGUAGGGGGCGAGCGUUGUCCGGAAUGAUUGGGCGUAAAGGGCGCGUAGGCGGCGCGGUAAGUCUGGAGUGAAAGUCCUGCUUUCAAGGUGGGAAUUGCUUUGGAUACUGCCGCGCUUGAGUGCAGGAGAGGUUAUCGGAAUUCCCGGUGUAGCGGUGAAAUGCGUAGAGAUCGGGAGGAACACCAGUGGCGAAGGCGGGUAACUGGACUGCAACUGACGCUGAGGCGCGAAAGUGUGGGGAGCAAACAGGAUUAGAUACCCUGGUAGUCCACACUGUAAACGAGGAAUGCUAGGUGUAAGAGGUAUCGACCCCUUUUGUGCCGGAGUCAACACAAUAAGCAUUCCGCCUGGGGAGUACGGCCGCAAGGUUGAAACUCAAAUGAAUUGACGGGG
rnacentral:rRNA from 1 species